rnacentral:rRNA from 1 species
UACGUAGGGUGCGAGCGUUAAUCGGAAUUACUGGGCGUAAAGCGUGCGCAGGCGGUUGGGUAAGACAGAUGUGAAAUCCCCGGGCUUAACCUGGGAACUGCAUUUGUGACUGUCCGACUGGAGUAUGUCAGAGGGGGGUGGAAUUCCAAGUGUAGCAGUGAAAUGCGUAGAUAUUUGGAAGAACACCGGUGGCGAAGGCAGCCCCCUGGGGCAAAACUGACGCUCAUGCACGAAAGCGUGGGGAGCAAACAGG